CACGUAGGGGGCGAGCGUUGUCCGGAAUUAUUGGGCGUAAAGAGCGUGUAGGCGGUUCGGUAAGUCUGCCGUGAAAACCUGGGGCUCAACCCUGGGCGUGCGGUGGAUACUGCAGGGCUAGAGUUCGGAAGAGGCGAGUGGAAUUCCUGGUGUAGCGGUGAAAUGCGCAGAUAUCAGGAGGAACACCGAUGGCGAAGGCAGCUCGCUGGGACGAUACUGACGCUGAGGCGCGAAAGCGUGGGGAGCAAACAGG
rnacentral:rRNA from 1 species